AGGCCUGCAUACUGCCGUGAAUACGUUCCCGGGCCUUGUACACACCGCCCGUCACACCAUGAGAGUUGGGAAUACCCGAAGCCUGUGAGCUAACAUUAAGAGGCAGCAGUCGAAGGUAGAAUCAAUGAUUGGGGGUGAAGUCGUAACAAGGUAUC
rnacentral:rRNA from 1 species